UUUAAAGGCAGAGCCUGGCCCGGUGAGUGACGUGGGUGUCAGCCAAUUAGAGGGUGGAGUUUGCUGGCUUUUAACUAACUAUCACCUUUUUCUUCAACCUUUUUUGUCAACACAUUUUUUGAGUUAUUUGAAUAAUAAUUUCUGCACUAAAUUAGACCAAAACACACAAAAAAGGCAGAGAAGGUCCCCUACUAAUCUAACAAACAGAGCAGAGAGAAUAUAGUCCUGUGAUGGUAGACAGUUUCAAAUGAUACAGUUACUUUUUUUGUCACACCUACCAAUGCAAAUCAAACGUCAUCUGAACAAAAACCUCACUUAUGCUAUGCAGAUUCCGAUUUCAGAUUCCAGCCAUAAUUGUUUCUCACACUUUUUAAAACAUUUUAUAAUUGUGGUAGCAGCGUGACUAAUUGAAAGCGAGCAAGUGUGUGCCUCAAACAUCUCGGCGAGAUUAGAGCGUGGGGAAAAGUUUGAAAGGCGUCCAGUUUCUUCUAAAAAUAGCCGGCAUAAAGAUCGUGUGACCCUCAAGGCUGCAGGUCUUUUUCCUUGGCGGCCGCUGACUGCGGAAAACCCUCGAGGCCAAGAAGGAAGCGAAUCAACCCCGCGAUGGCCUGAGAAGAGACGGUUAAAAAAACCUCCCCCUAAUAACGUCCCUUAACUUUUAUGAGGUGCGCAAAUAGUCCGGAUUUUUCCAUCGCCUUGUUACAUGUUGUGAACGUGAGAGAAAGCAUGCUACACCUCUUUUGGGGUUAAAGAUAUAGGGAGACCGAUGGCAGCCUGCAGCCAAUCGUCGUGUGCGUGACGUGGAAGCGCGCUGGUGUUGCGUAUCCUGUUGAUUGUGACCGAAGAGACAAAAAGCCUCAGACAGACAGUCGAAGCUCCACU